rnacentral:misc_RNA from 1 species
UCCGAGUUGACCCCGGCAGUCUCCUAUGAGUCCCCACCAUAACGUGCUGGCAACAUAGAACGAGGGUUGCGCUCGUUGCGGGACUUAACCCAACAUGUCACCACACGAGCUGACAACAGCCAUGCAGCACCUGUCUCUCUGCUGUAUUGCUACAGAAGCCCUAUCUCUAGGGAUGUCAGAGGAUGUCAAAUCCAGGUAAGGUUCUUCGCGUUGCUUCGAAUUAAACCACAUGAUCCACCGCUUGUGCGGGCCCCCGUCAAUUCCUUUGAGUUUUAGUCUUGCGACCGUACUUCCCAGGCGGGGUACUUAGUGCGUUAGCUCCGGUUCGGCGGUGGUCAAGACCCACCAAACCUAGUACCCAUCGUUUACAGCGUGGACUAC